rnacentral:rRNA from 1 species
GGCAGCAGGCGCGCAAAUUACCCAAUCCCAAUANGGGGAGGUAGUGACAAUAAAUAACAAUAUGGGGCUCUUACGGGUCUCGUAAUUGGAAUGAGUACAAUUUAAAUNUNUUAACGAGGAACAAUUGGAGGGCAAGUCUGGUGCCAGCAGCCGCGGUAAUCCCAGCUCCAAUAGCGUAUAUUAAAGUUGUUGCAGUUAAAAAGCUCGUAGUUGAAUUUCGGAGUUUGUCGGUUGGUCGGGCUUCACUGUCCGCACUGGCCUGAUGGAUUCCUACCUUCUGAAUAACCAGCAUGCUAUUAAGUUAGUGCGUUGGGGAAGCAGAGCUAUUACCUUG